CUUGUAUACAACCAUGGCUGACCUCCCCUCCCGACAGGAGAAGACCCAAUCUCAGCAGCACACUGAGCCCUGUCAUUUACACCAGAUUCCUUCCUUUCAACAGGCACAGCUGUUACCAUUUUUGGUAUCUUAAGCCUACGUCAAACUCUAUGCGCAUUUAGUCAGAUUUCUGUUAAGUAACACAGACAAAACUGUUAAUACUGUUUUGAGUGGCUUCAAACUGUUAGCAGAUGGCACAGCAUGCAGCUUUAAGUGAUUCAUGAAACAUAAAAAGGAUAACAAUCUACUGGAAGUGUCUCAUCCAGCUUCAAAGCACCGAACCUGGAUUCCAGUUAAACAGAAUUUGGAUUUCAUUGCAUCAUUUCAAGGGAAUUUACAACACGCUUCAUGGGAGCUUUCACAAAUGACGGAAAUACCUGCAGUUAAGCAACAACUAAGCAGAUUCCUCAGGCAAAACCAAAUCUUCUGGUUGUUUCUAUUGGACAUCUUCAUUUUGUUGUUUUUUUUUUUGGCAGUGGGAGGAAGAUCAUAUUAAGUCUAAUCAGUGAUUUAUUAUGAGUCACAAGAAGUGAAUCAAAUUUAAUGGAAAAUGAAUCACAUACCACAGCAUUACCCAUUACCACUACUUCCUCAGGCUAAAUUUCUUGCUGAUUAUGGAAUUCACUGAUGUUUUUAUUGUCCUCUCUGAUUCUCACAUAUCUCAAACAUCCUAAGAGGUUCGGAUCCUUCAUUACCUAACCAUCAUAAACUUAAUGGAAACAAUCGCAGCAAAUGCUAACAGAACUUGCUUGUGUAGAAACAAACUGCAAAGCAUUCAUGUAACAGCUUACUGCAAACACGGAGCUGUUUGACGUAAGAGUAAAGAAUGAAUUUUUAAAAGUCAAAGCUAGAGGGGCCAUGCCAAAUAUUCACCAGAAUAAAAGCCAUGCCAUAGGAUGUUCAGCACUGCAGGAAAGUGCAAAAUGAAGAAGUUGAGGCUGUAAACAUUGAAGAGCUACUCAAGGGAACAGCACAGCAAGUCUACAAAUGCAGCUACUUCAUAACAAGGCUACAGGUACUAACUACAUCUGAAAAGCACCCUCAAGGCUCCUGUACUCCGUAGGAAAGUAAGUGAAUGGAUAAAUUAAUGAGUAUCACAGGGUUACCACUCCUAAAUAUUAUUACAACCGAAUUUAUUGCUCA